GGAAUCGCGGUCCCGCUCGCGCUCCACUAACACAGCUGUGUCCCGGCGCGAGCGAGAACGGG
ensembl:miRNA